rnacentral:rRNA from 1 species
GAUGAACGCUGGCGGCGUGCCUAAUACGUGCAAGUCGAGCGAAUGGAUUAAGAGCUUGCUCUUAUGAAGUUAGCGGCGGACGGGUGAGUAACACGUGGGUAACCUGCCCAUAAGACUGGGAUAACUCCGAGAAACCGGGGCUAAUACCGGAUAACAUUUUGAACCGCAUGGUUCGAAAUUGAAAGGCGGCUUCGGCUGUCACUUAUGGAUGGACCCGCGUCGCAUUAGCUAGUUGGUGAGGUAACGGCUCACCAAGGCAACGAUGCGUAGCCGACCUGAGAGGGUGAUCGGCCACACUGGGACUGAGGCACGGCCCAGACUCCUACGGGAGGCAGCAGUAGGGAAUCUUCCGCAAUGGACGAAAGUCUGACGGAGCAACGCCGCGUGAGUGAUGAAGGCUUUCGGGUCGUAAAACUCUGUUGUUAGGGAGGAACAAGUGCUAGUUGAAUAAGCUGGCACCUUGACGGUACCUAACCAGAAAGCCACGGCUAACUACGUGCCAGCCGCCGCGGUAA